AACGAACGCUGGCGGCAGGCCUAACACAUGCAAGUCGAACGCCCCGCAAGGGGAGUGGCGCACGGGUGAGUAACGCGUGGGAAUCUGCCCUUUGGUCUGGAAUAACCCUGGGAAACUGGGGCUAAAACCGGAUAAGCCCCGCGAGGGGGAAAGUUUACGCCGAAGGAGGAGCCCGCGUCCGAUUAGCUAGUUGGUGAGGUAAGAGCUUACCAAGGCGACGAUCUGUAGCUGGUCUGAGAGGACGACCAGCCACACUGGGACCGAGACACGGCCCAGACUCCUACGGGAGGCAGCAGUGGGGAAUAUUGGACAAUGGGCGCAAGCCUGAUCCAGCCAUGCCGCGUGAGUGAUGAAGGCCUUAGGGUUGUAAAGCUCUUUCAGUGGGGAAGAUAAUGACGGUACCCACAGAAGAAGCCCCGGCUAACUUCGUGCCAGCAGCCGCCGUAAGAC
rnacentral:rRNA from 1 species